rnacentral:lncRNA from 1 species
GCAUCUUUACAUCAAGAACUACUUGGGGUAGUGUCGCAAAAUCAUCGGCCUCCCCACCCCAUGGAAAGAAACAUGCGUCUAAACGCAGAGUCUGAGCUGUGUUUGUGUUCCUGGAACAGGAGGCAUGUCAAGCCACACACACCGUUACUGAAAUGAAGGUGAUUUUCCUUGACAGUUCAUCUCCGCUUUUCCCCUUCGUUCAAAUCGACCCGAGCAAGCAAACCAAGGAAGAGAUGACACCGGAAGUCCGGGUUCUGAUACCAGUGACCUUUAAUGACUAAGAACCCACAGUGACGAAAGGAAAAUAAUAAAAUAAAACCAAACCCCAGGAAUAAUCCUUAACAUCUCACUGGAAUUGGUGGCUUUUAUUUUCAAGGAACACACUGUUUUCUUCACCCCCCUCCCUGUCUUGUUCUCAUCUUUAAUGCAAAUGUUUAAUAGAUAUCAUAACUUAAAACUGUGUUUGGCAGCCUGGUCUGUGCCCAUGAAACCUUAAACAAGUAUAUAAAAAUAUGCCAUUAAAUUCAUAUCGACAAUCGAAAGACUCAGGGACGUUAUGUACAGAGGAGGCGAUAUAUAUCAGUAUUUACAGUAAGACUUCGGCAGCUGAGAAGUCAGUAAAGCUCACAGGAAAGAGGUGCGGCAGGUUUUCUAUCCAGUCUUUCCAAACCUGCUGAUCUAUUUGAUCAGAGGUGAGAACGGCCUUUUGUAUGUAUCCCUGUAAAUGAAGUUUUUCUCUUUUUUGGGUGAUCACCAUUUUGUGGCGCAAUGAUGGAGAGACCGUUCUCCCGAAUUUGUGGUGAGAUGCUCCCCCCGCUACUAGGGUCCAUCUCCAACCUUAAAGAGCACAUGUUCUUCGCCCCCACUUGUGUAAGGCUGAAGCAGGUCACUUCCAGUCUGGUUUGCUGAGAGGUGAGCGCAAGACAACGGGCAAGUCUACGCUUGAAUGUUGAAGGACCGGUUGUCCUGGUUAGGUGGAUGUUCAGAGGAGGGGAAACAAGGGGGCCGGAUAGCUGGACAGCUCACAAUAGCAGCGACACAAAUCUCUCAGUGACCUGUGAGUGGAACAGCUGAAAGCCCCUGAACCCUGCUGGCAUCAAGCGGACAUGUCCCUUUUCCAGAACAUGUGCAACCUAUUUCUUUCCAAGCCACAGAGCUGUUAAUAAGCCAAUUCCUACCUGUUCCAGUGCUUGGCUCUCAAAAUAGACCCACAAAUGAUGUAAGGAUUUUGGUGAGGCUCGUUAAGUUGAGGAAGUCGCUUUUAUGGGUUGCCUUGAGGCCAGGGGAGGAACGUGAGGUUUGUGCAUGUGUUCCACCUGUUUCUUCUGUAGAUGGAACGGCGUCACCCUAACUCUGGGUCUGCUCAGGGUCAAGGUGUAAAGGACAAUCGGUUGGUUUAGGGUCCGCCAGUGGGCAUGAUUUUCUAAAUCAAUAGAGGGAUUUUUUUCUUGAGUUAAAAACAAAAAACCAUGCAGAGGAUCAAAUAUUUGCUAGACUCCAUCAUGUCGUCCUUCAAGCAUCACCCCCUCGGACAAGGGCUUUGUAAAGCAGGGCGGGCGAUGCAUGACUCAUCAGGUGUGGCUGAAGG